AACGCAUCUUGCGCUCCUUGGUAUUCCGAGGAGCAUGCCUGUUUGAGUGUCAUUAAAUUAUCAACCAUAUUGGCUUCACUGCUUGGUAUGGCUUGGAUUUGGAGGUGUCUUUUUGCUGGUCUCUCUUGUUAGAGAGAGUCAGCUCCUCUUAAAUGCAUUAGCGGUGCCCUUUGAUGGCAGAAUUAGCUAUCAGUGUGAUAAACUGUCUACACUGUUGGUUGUCAUCAAAUAAGGGCUGUGCUGCUUCAAAUAGUCUAGUCUUUCAGACAAAAUGUAAAUGACCAAUUUGACCUCAAAUCAGGUAGGACCACCCGCUGAACUUAA
rnacentral:misc_RNA from 1 species